CGUUGAUACUGGGAUGCUAGAAUGCGGAUGCCGUGGGAGGAAUGUGUGGUGUAGCGGUGAAAUGCAUAGAUAUCACACAGAACACCGAUUGCGAAGGCAUCUCACGAAUCCGCUAUUGACGCUGAGGCACGAAAGCGUGGGGAUCAAACAGGAUUAGAUACCCUGGUAGUCCACGCUGUAAACGAUGAUGACUAACCGUCGGCGAUACACAGUCGGUGGCCAAGCGAAAGCGAUAAGUCAUCCACCUGGGGAGUACGACCGCAAGGUUGAAACUCAAAGAAAUUGACGGGGGCCCGCACAAGCGGAGGAACAUGUGGUUUAAUUCGAUGAUACGCGAGGAACCUUACCCGGGCUCGAACGGCAGGGGAAUGAUCCAGAGAUGGAUCAGUCUUCGGACAUCUGUCGAGGUGCUGCAUGGUUGUCGUCAGCUCGUGCUGUGAAGUGUCGGCUUAAGUGCCAUAACGAGCGCAACCCUUGCCGUUAGUUGCCAUCAGGUUAUGCUGGGGACUCUAGCGGGACUGCCACCGCAAGGUGUGAGGAAGGGGGGGAUGACGUCAAAUCAGCACGGCCCUUACGUCCGGGGCGACACACGUGUUACAACGGCGAGUACAGAGAGAAGCUACCUGGCGACAGGAUGCAGAUCUCGAAAGCUCGUCCCAGUUCGGAUUGGAGUCUGCAACCCGACUCCAUGAAGUUGGAUUCGCUAGUAAUCGCGCAUCAGCCAUGGCGCGGUGAAUACGUUCCCGGGCCUUGUACACAC
rnacentral:rRNA from 1 species